rnacentral:lncRNA from 1 species
AUUCCGCUGGGGGAUCCGGAAGGAAUGGAAGUCAUGGUCUCUGGCUUUGGAGCUUAAAGUCUAGUAUGAGAAGUGAAAUAAGUUAGGGAGUUUCUAUAAAGCAAACGAAUAAGUCCAAGCUCUGGGCGUCUGUCUCACAAGGAGGGUAAAUCUGACUUUAACAACGAAACUGCAAAGGAAAUCCGAAUUGCUUGGUUGGUAUUGGUGAGCAUAUUUGGUUAGGAGAAAUAGAUGAAAAUAGUUUUCAUAACAUCGAUGAUCCCAACUGUGAGAGGAGAAAAAAGAACUCAUUUGUGGGCCUGACUAACCUUGGAGCCACUUGUUAUGUCAACACAUUUCUUCAAGUGUGGUUUCUCAACUUGGAGCUUCGGCAGGCACUCUACUUAUGUCCAAGCACUUGUAGUGACUACAUGCUGGGAGACGGCAUCCAAGAAGAAAAAGAUUAUGAGCCUCAAACAAUUUGUGAGCAUCUCCAGUACUUGUUUGCCUUGUUGCAAAACAGUAAUAGGCGAUACAUUGAUCCAUCAGGAUUUGUUAAAGCCUUGGGCCUGGAC